rnacentral:tRNA from 1 species
GGGGUUGUGUCUCAGUGGUAGAGCGCUUGCCUAGCAUGCAUGAGGCACUGGGUUUGAUUCUCAGCACCA